rnacentral:rRNA from 3 species
UACGUAGGUGGCAAGCGUUAUCCGGAAUUACUGGGCGUAAAGCGCACGCAGGUGGUUUGCUAAGAUUGACGUGAAAGCGCCUGGCUUAACUGGGCGAGGUCGUUGAUGACUGGCAGACUUGAGGCGAGGAGAGGGGUGUAGAAUUCCCGGUGUAGUGGUGGAAUGCGUAGAUAUCGGGAGGAAUACCAGUGGCGAAAGCGGCACCCUGGCCUUGGCCUGACGCUCAGGUGCGAAAGCGUGGGGAGCGAACGGG